rnacentral:rRNA from 1 species
CAGCCGCCACGGUAAUACGAAGGGGGCUAGCGUUGCUCGGAAUUACUGGGCGUAAAGCGCGCGUAGGCGGUUACUCAAGUCAGAGGUAAAAGCCCGGGGCUCAACCCCGGAACUGCCUUUGAAACUAGGUGACUAGAAUCUUGGAGAGGUCAGUGGAAUUCCGAGUGUAGAGGUGAAAUUCGUAGAUAUUCGGAAGAACACCAGUGGCGAAGGCGACUGACUGGACAAGUAUUGACGCUGAGGUGCGAAAGCGUGGGGAGCAAACAGGAUUAGAUACCCGUGUAGUCCCUGUCUCUUAUAU